UCUCUACCGCGUAGCUGACGGAGCAUACCGCGUGAGGGAGAAUGCCUAUGGGUUGUAAACCUCUUUUUUCAGGGAGGAAUAAAAUGACGUGUACCUGAAGAAUAAGCAUCGGCUAACUCCGUGCCAGCAGCCGCGGUAAGACGGAGGAUGCAAGUGUUAUCCGGAAUCACUGGGCGUAAAGCGUCUGUAGGUGGUUUAAUAAGUCAACUGUUAAAUCUUGAUGGCUCAACUUCAAAAUCGCAGUCGAAACUAUUAGACUAGAGUAUAGUAGAGGUAAAGGGAAUUUCCAGUGGAGCGGUGAAAUGCGUAGAUAUUGGAAAGAACACCGAUGGCGAAAGCACUUUACUGGGCUAUUACUAACACUCAGAGACGAAAGCUAGGGUAGCAAAUGGGAUUAGAUACCCCAGUAGUCCUAGCUGUAAACAAUGGAUACUAGAUGUUGAACAGAUCGACCUGUGCAGUAUCAAAGCUAACGCGUUAAGUAUCCCGCCUGGGAAGUAUGCUCGCAAGAGUGAAACUCAAAGAAAAUUUGAACGGA
rnacentral:rRNA from 1 species